rnacentral:rRNA from 1 species
GACGAACGCUGGCGGCGUGCCUAAUACAUGCAAGUCGAGCGGACGAAUCGAAAGCUUGCUUUUGAUUCGUUAGCGGCGGACGGGUGAGUAACACGUGGGCAACCUGCCCUGUAGACGGGGAUAACACCGAGAAAUCGGUGCUAAUACCGGAUAACACGAAAUGUCGCAUGACGUUUCGUUGAAAGACGGCGCAAGCUGUCGCUACAGGCUAGGCCCGCGGCGCAUUAGGUAGUUGGUGAGGUAACGGCUCACCAAGGCGACGAUGCGUAGCCGACCUGAGGGGGUGAUCGGCCACACUGGGACUGAGACACGGCCCAGACUCCUACGGGAGGCAGCAGUAGGGAAUCUUCCGCAAUGGACGAAAGUCUGACGGAGCAACGCCGCGUGAGCGAAGAAGGCCUUCGGGUCGUAAAGCUCUGUUGUUAGGGAAGAACAAGUAACGCAGUAACUGGCGUUACCGUGACGGUACCUAACGAGAAAGCCACGGCUAACUACGUG